rnacentral:rRNA from 1 species
AUUGAACGCUGGCGGCAGGCCUAACACAUGCAAGUCGAACGAGCGGCGGACGGGUGAGUAAUGUCUGGGAAUCUGCCCGAUGGAGGGGGAUAACUACUGGAAACGGUAGCUAAUACCGCAUACCAUCGGAUGAGCCCAGAUGGGAUUAGCUCGUAGGUGGGGUAACGGCUCACCUAGGCGACGAUCCCUAGCUGGUCUGAGAGGAUGACCAGCCACACUGGAACUGAGACACGGGCCAGACGCCUACGGGAGGCAGCAGUGGGGAAGAUUGCACAAUGGGGGCAAGCCUGAUGCAGCCAUGCCGCGUGUAGGAAGAAGGCCUUCGGGUUGUAAAGUACUUUCAGCGGGGAGGCGUUACUGUCAGAAGAAGCACCGGCUAACUCCGUGCCAGCAGCCGCGGUAAUUC